AGUUGCAGGUACAAAUAUUUUCUUUAUUAUAACUAUUCAAGAUCUUUACAUUUAAUUAUUUGUUGUGGUUGUGUUGAAUGUUCAAAUUUUUUCACAGAUCUGUGCUGAGUUUCACAGAGUGACGAAUGUCAACCUAAAGAAUCGUUUCUUUGCUCAACUGGACCAACAUACCCCCCGGCUUCAGAGCCUGUUUCGGAAAAAAGCUUCUCGGACAGGAAAAGCUUCUGAACUCCUGGAUGAGCUCUUCAGGAUUUAUGACCUCCAGGAUCAAGUUGAUGUCCAUGUUAGACGUGCUGUGGUACUCCGGGCUCUCCCUCCGUAUAUGCAUGAGAGUGGUGUUAUCUUUUUCAAGAUGUGGGACGUGGAGCAGACUGAAGAACUGAACACCAAUGAUGUACCACUUGGGCUCCUCCUAAGCAAUCAGACAUCAUCAGAUGCCCAUUUUUUCUGCCCAGAGAGGAUUGCAGUUCUGAUUGAGGGUAACAUUGUUAUUGAGUCCUCCACACUGGCUGAUGCAUUCGUCAUUCUAUUUGCACUUACAUACACCCUGCACCUUAACUAUCCAAAACAAUUGCUCAACACAUUUGACUUCGUCCAAAAGGUCUUGAUGGGUCUUGAGGAUGGAAAGUUGAGGCCUAGAGUUUUGAGUCUGAAAAAUGACCUGUUAGCAGUAGUGUAAGCACAUUUGUUUUUCUUGCUGUAAAACAUCUAACAGAUGGGUUUUAUAGAUAUUGUUGCUGAAGUUUUAAUGCCAUAAAGUUGAAUGAAGUCCUGUUUUGUACAUUUUUGUACUUGUGUAAUAUGUUUGUGUAUCUAAUACAUAUAUUUGUAUUGACAAAUAUUCUAAAUGUGUCCUAUGGUGUGACAACAAACAAUGUGGGGAAAAACAUUAUUUAAAAUAGUUUAAUCUCUUUAAUGGUAUUUGUAACUUUCUCAUGCUAUUUGUUUAAUUGUUAUUUUUUAUAUCUUUGCAAUGUCACACCAUAGGACAUAUUUACAAAUAUAAUACACUCAGGUAAUUUUGAAAUUGUGGCAUGGUGUG